UCCCACACCUUGUGCGAUCGGCGACGAGUGGCCGACACGAAAAGGAUUACAACAAAGCAAGGAGGUGAAAGGACUGCGUCUCUGCCUCUCUUUCUGACGCGCCCUUCUUCCUCUUCCUAUCGCACACGCGACGAGGGGCGGUGGGGGACUGCUCAAGCACCCUCUGCCUCCGCCGCGUUCUCCGCUGCACACACACACACACACACACACACACACACACACACACACACGGGAGCGCUUCAGCCCAAAUCUCCAGUAGAGCGAAACACGCGCAGACCAACGUCAAACAGGAAAGGAAAGGGAGCGCAGACAGUGCAUAGCCUUCACGGCGACGGUUAUGAGUGGUUACCAUCGCCGUCACAGAGCACAAGCGAAAAGCAACCAUAGAACACGGAGGGAGGCACAGAGGCGGUGCCUAGGCACGCGCGCACCGACAGCGCACGAAGGGGGACGCAUGUGUGCGUGUGUGUGUGUUUGCGCGUGCGGUGCUGCGUUUCUCCAUCGACUUCAGCAGUACCUUUCGACCUUAGACGACUUACUCCCUGCAGCGUCCCUCUGCCUCUCUCUCGCGUAUGCCUCCCAGGCGAGGCCGGGCCCCGGUGCACAACCGAAACGACGAGACGCAGCGUCUUCCUGGUGACGCGGCACUACCGUCGCUGGCGGCCGCGUCUGCACGUCGUCCACACCACCUCGUCUCUCGUCUCUAUCCCCCGUGGGGCAGUGGUGCACAUGGGAUUGCCCUUCGCACGAGUGGAGUGACUCCCAACAUCCCCACCAUCGCCAGCAAGGACGAGCCACCGGCCUCUGCCGCGACCGCUCCUGUGACGGUGGAGAACAGGACCCUGGGUGCGGAAACGCACGGCACUGCAUCCGUCCAUCCUGGCCGAGGGCGCGCUGGACUUUCCACUCGUGUCAGCGGAAGCGUCAGAAGAAAGGCGGGAUCAGCGAGGAGGACCGCACCAAGUCGAAGGGCCGGCGGUCGUCUCCCUCCAGCGGCACACAAGCGACCCCGAUCGACAUCGACUGCCUCCUUCGCGGCGCCUGUUGAGGUGGAGGAGAAGGUCGCAGGCAGCAGUGACGACGCCGAGGCCGGCGACGAUAGUGGCGUGGAAGCCGUUCACACCGGCAGUGAUGGAGAGCGACCCGCAGAGACAGCGUCGUGCACCAGCGAGAUGCCACCGGCAGUCAUGCAGCUUUCCUCCUCGUCUUCGUCCUCCCCGUCCCUAUCUCCGUCACCGAUGGUGACCGAACGCAAAGUACUGAAAGGCGGCGACGGCGGUGGAGGCGAUGCGGCGAGGCGCACCGGCUUCACUUCAUGUGGGGCGAUUACACCUGCUGAAGUCGCGUCCCAUGCCACUGAAUGCCACAGCCACCGCCUUCCUCAGGUGCAGGUCCCUUCGUCAUCGGCGAGGGCGCCGGCCACCGUCGAAGAGGUUGCUGUUUCUCCCGUGAGGCUCAGCGACACGGUUACGCCGCAGAAGCCGCCGCAGCACUACGCCGCCUCCACGGCAGACAGCAAGGUGCUCUUUGCCGAGGACGAAGACGAGGAGGGAGAGGAUGAGGGGCGGCAGCCGUGGCGUCCCAACCACCUCCGCGCGGCCAGCGGUGACCCGCAGCGGCCGGCGCGUGCUGAGGAGGUGGAGCAUGUGCUUGGAGAACUGUCGGAAUGCUCGUCGAUCACCUCUGCUCGUCCGCAAGCACCGCGACGCUCUUCGGAUACGAGCGGCAGCCACGACGACCGUGUGCCACACCCCAGAUGCGCUCCGACGGAGAGCGACAAGGAAGUGCGGUGUGGGCCGCUUGACGUGAAGUACACCGACAACACCGCCGCCAGAGGCGCCAAAGCCGUACUCGGCGGCGAGGAUGAUAAGGCGAGGCGGCAAACGUGCGCCGCGUGCACGACGCCGUCCUUAAAGCCCGCUUGUCCAGACUUGAGCGAGGGCAGCGUCACUCCGGUGGUCGAGGGUCACACAUGGGGCGCGGCAAGCGCGUCCGCGACGUUUACGGAAACGCUCGCAGUGCAAGACUUGUCUCUCCUCCCCGGCGAGAGCGGGGGUGGUGCCACCCUUGACGUUGGCGGUGUCGCGAACGGCGGCGGCUAUGUGUACACGCCAUUGCUGUCUUCGUCCACAGGUCAGCGCACGCCGUACUCGGCGAUCGCGAACGCGGGGGCGUCUGCUCGGCUGCGUGGCGACACACUUGGGGUGACAGCGCCAGAGGAAGUGCUGUUGGGCGAAGGACUUAUAUCCCCACCAGUAAAGCGGACCACGGCUACUCCACAGCAAGUGACCCACGGUGUGGAAGUGGCGGCAGAGGACGGCACUGAGACCCGUUCCGGAGCCGGAGAAACCGGAGCUGGGCCGUCUCGAGCUCACGGGAAGGCCUUGGCCAUGGAUGGCUCGAGCUCAUCAACGACGUUCUUGCCUACCCUGUCUUCCGCUACGCUGUGCGCUGUGACCGGUGGCGGCGAGGCGAGCGGCUUCGGACAGAACAUGAAUACGCCGCCAUCACACUCUUCGGCGGACGGCGCCGUCUCAAUGACGGACGAACAGCCGCCGCCGCCGCCGCCGCCGCGCGUACCUAUAACCCCGUCAUCACCGUCGCUUCCCCCUAGCUCUCUCCCCUCUACGCUUGACGACGGACUCUGGAAGGAGAGUGCAAAGUCCGCGCAGGCGGACGUGGUGGACACCGAUGCCGUGACCCCAGGCCGCUGUACCCCAAACGGGCAGGGCGCCAGUGGUGACGCUCCUGCUCCCCUUGCUCCGUCGGUCGCUGUUGCACAGCACGAGACGGUGCCGAUCGACCCAUUCCUGAGCACACCGCCACAGUUCAAGGGAGAAUCUCCUGUGGUUGAAAAGGACGCCAGCGGCGGCGGCGCGCGCGUGCGUCGUUCUCCAGAGCGCUCAGGCUGCGAAGAUGCCGGAAAAGGUGACCACUCGCCUGCUGUGUUUGGCUUUUUGACUCGCACUCCGCCCCGGUCGGCGAAGAAGUCUGCGAUGGGUUUAACAUCCACGAUUACCGGCGCGGACGUGGACAUGCGGGUUUUGAGGGUUGGCACGCAGGUGGAGGGCCGCUGGGGACGACAGUGGUUUCCGGCGGUGAUCAGCGAAGCCCCGCGGAACGGCUUUGUGCAGGUUGAGUGGGAGGAAGACGGCUCACGACUCCACUUGCGACUUCGCGAGGUGCGACUGUUGCCUGGCGCUGCAGCUGCGAAGAGGGCAGGCGCCGUGCCCGCGAUCCAUGAGGCCGAUAGGUGUGCUGCUUCAGUAGGUGGUGGGGCUGCUGCGACGGAAGGCGCGCAUGGCGUGCUGACUGCGACCCAACUUGUGGCACUCAUGGAAGAGGAGGACGCCCAGGACAGCCGAUACCAGCCGGAGCCGCCGCACGUCCGUCCCUCCGCUUCACAUAGGGAGACAUCGCCGCCCAUGACGACAUCUGUGGGCAAGCAAGUGGAUAGGAGCGGUGGGGAAGGCGGUGAGGGGGCCGAGGAGGAUGUGGUGGUGCGCCCGCUUGGUGUUAGCCGCGCGUGUGGGAGGGCUGGACGUGGUGUAUAUGCUGUGAACGCGGACGGUGACGCUCACCCGGAUCGCGCAAGCAGCGCGGCGUCCUCCGCUGGCGCCGCCACCACCCGUUCGCCGUCGCGCUCUCCUGUGCCGACGUACGCGGCACCCGGUGUGCCGCCGUGCGAGGUGCACCCCUCGUCCCUCUGUAUCUUUCUCCCACAAACGGUGCGGCGCGACCUCCUGCAGGGCGAGGGCCCUCCGCCUGCAUCGGCCUUUUCUUCUUCGUCUUUUCGCUACCACGCGGCCCCGGCGACAGAGCUGCAGCGGCGCACCGAGCUUCAGCGUAUCUUGCACUUCUUGACCAGCGCCGGGACGAUCGUGAUCGACUCCGUGGCACAGGCGGACAACAUGGCCGCCCAGCUCGGCGACAGUGGAGACGUGAAGGGAACCUCCUUCACCAGCCACUUGUCCUCGCUGGCUGCGGGCCAGCUCCACAGCGCCGACUCGUCGCCGAUGCAGGGAGAAAAGACGACGAAGGCGGUUGCCGGAAGUGGCGGAAAGCGGGGGACAGUGGGGCGCGCGUCACUGCCUCGCCGGAGCAUGGCGUCUGCCGUCGCUGCUGCUUCCCAUGCACAGCGUUCGGCACCGAGGUACUUCGUCUUUCUCGUUUCUUCUGCGACUGCUCUUGUGGGCGGCAGCGCGGAGGCGUCUGAGAAGCUGGACCAGCUGCAGGAUGUGUUGCCCGUGGUGUGCUUGGCGCAUGCAUUGGGCGUCUCAGCGAUUCACGCCUCGUGGCUGUGGGGCAUUGCCCCCGGCACCGCGCGAGUGAAGCUGCCCACGCCGGCGGACCAAGUCGAGCUGUUGCCGAGCGCUGCCCCGGAGACAUGGGGUGCGUGGAAGGCCACUCGCGCUGGCGCUCCAUCGACGAAGGCGGCGCCACUACCGCUGCGCUUCGCACCGCUUGCAGUGAAGGACCGCUGGCUCAGCGCCAAAAACGUUGCCUUUGUCGCGCGGGAUGACCGAAUGGAGAUGUGGCUCAACGCCGCCGGGGCGACCGUCACGGCAGAGUUGGCGCCGUCGCCGCCCUCUCACGUCGCUCGCCAGAGCUUGCCACGGGGCAGCAGCCGACCGUCAGCUUCCGUUGCGGGUGCUCUGCUUGGGCGCAGCCCCGGCAGCGCACUUCCGCGGUGCCAUUCCGAGUCCCCUUCACGCUCACUGCCGCUCAAGCAGCUGCGCGCGGAGCAGACGCCGGACUUCGUCUACGUACCCGAUGAUGUGACCGUGCCGCUGGACUUGGAUCGUUUGGGCAGCGUCCCAGUGCUCCAAGUCUCGUGGCUGGCUGAAGGCAUCGAGCAGCAUUACCGCCAUUGCUGCAACCCAACCUCGUCAGCGGAGCCGGUGCUGCCAAAACCGCCGUCGCUGACCUCCGUGUGGCGGACAAUUCUUCAUGCGAAGCCUCCGAAGGGAAGCCACACAAGACGUUCCAACACGCCAUCCCAGCCAGACCGUGCGCAAUCUUCUCCGUCAUCUCCGUCGCCGAGGCCGGCGGUGAACGAUGAGGAGAAGCGCAGCGUCUCAGAAGGCGCGCGUAGCCGCAAGGCAGCCGCAGCGUCUACCCUCGGGAACGAGAGGGACCGCCUGAGUCACCACGGCAGUGACGUGGUGCAUCCGGCGUCGGUGCCCCCGCUUGCAAACGACAGGAGCGAGAGUGGUGAUGGUGUGGCUCCAUCUGCCUUCCCGCCAAGCGCGAAGGGCGGCGACAUGGAUGAAGGUGUCGGUGACACUGUUGGCGCGCUAAGGGGGAGCCUCAACGAGGAGGAGGACGCGCUGACGAUGCGCAUCAGCGGCGGUGAUGCGCAGGAGCCGCUUCCGCGUGAGGCGGAGGAUUUUGUCAGCGCAAGGGGGCCCGAAGGCGCUGCUGCGGAGCGUGGCAGCGCAGAAGCGGAGAAGGAUGUCAUGCUAAGGCUGGCCGGUGCCACCGGAGCGACUGCGGAAGCUCUGUCAGAUGCAGUGGUCUCUACUGAGCCCUCUGCGUGCACCUUUCAUCCGGCCAUCGUCAUUGGGGAGGACUAUUACUUCACGCUGUCCGCGCCACAACCUCCACCUCCUCCAUCGUUGUCCCCGCAUGGCCCGUCACACCCCCACGUCCCCCCUCCUGCGCUGCCGACGGCGACAAUUGUGCUGGGCCAAGUCGUGGACUUGCAAGUUGUCGCGCCGCCGUCGCCGCUGCUGCGCCAGCACCUCUGUACGGACGGCGCCGCUUCAUCGUUGACCUUCUCACAACCGCAGUGUCGGUGCCGCGUGACGCUGCAGCUGUACGAGCCCAAGUACAUCUCCAUGCAUAUUGACCCCCGCUCUGGAGAGGUGGUGCACCAGACCACUGUUUAUCUUGUCCGGCGCUGGGCCACUGUCCCGGGCACGUCGCUGCUCUUCGACACACCCGUAUACGUGAUCACCACGGCCGCACGGUCGCACGUCUACUUUUUGGAAGAGGUAGAGGACGAGGUGACGGCGCGAGGCGUGAGCGAUGGCGCGCACCAAUCCCGUCUGCGGCAACAGUCGGUCUGCGGCGCCGUCUCGACGCCGCCGGCCUCAGACUUAUUCCAUGGUGCGGCCAGGGCGACGACGGACGGCACCCUCUCUCCGCAUUUCCAUGGUCGGCGCUCCCUGUCGAAGGUAGCCAUGACAUCUUCAUCGCCAGUUCCGACGUGCCCGAUAACCAGGGGGUGUCCCCCGACACCGCAGGCACCGUUCUCUCUCACUCAGAGCGUCGCGAACGGGCGCCCUCGCCGAGACGCACUUGCUCCGUCGAGGACAUCUGAGGGAGCGGCGCGGGACGGUAGCGGUGGCGGCGUUGACGAGCGACGACGUCCCGAUUGAGCUUUACACGCGGCCAAGGCGAUGCAGAUAACCCCCAGGGGCGAUGCUUAGAGAUCGCCGGAGAGAGAGGUGUCAGCGCGCAGAGGGCGAUCGGCGGGCGGAGCGCGAGCGCGUCAGAGCGGCGAGCCAGUGCGGCUGCCUCCAAAUCCCCCGAGGUUGACACGAAUAACGGUGCUCGACAGGAAUGAGCAAGUAUCGCUACCUCCGACCUUCGAUCUGGCGGUGCUGGACCUGUUAACCGCCGUCGACGGCACGCCUUCCUCGGUGAAGGCUCGCCCAGCACGGCAGUCGCGGCAGCAAUAGGUGUUACUGGGCAAACUACCCUCGGCCUCCGCACGCCUUCUCGCCGAGCUGUCACCUACACCUCGGUGGCAAUACAGAGGCGCUUCGCCCCAACAGCCACAUCUCCUCCUCUUCACGCAGCGCGCUUUAACUCUCCAAGGGUCAUUCAGGGUGCCGGUCACUUGCGCCAGGGAGCGAUGACGGCCUUUUCUCGUGCCGGCACCGUUCUUCUUUGUUGCUGGUGUUGAUUCACCACUGGAAUGUCGUUCUCGCCGCGGCUUUCGAGGCCCUCUUCCAUCCGUGUCGUGUACUGACACGACCGCGCGUGCGUUGCGCUGCCGCUUCAAUGCGCCUUUGGCAUCGCCCUUUUUGUCACCAGUCCUCCUUGACGUGAUUACGCUUGUCCUAAUACGUUGGGGUAAUACCCUCCUGCCCUCCCUUCCUCAUCCUUCCUCGGAAACCUCUUCUCUGUCUUCCCUCUAUCUCGCAUGCUGUGUUACGUGCUGUGCCUCUCGCCUCGGUAUUCCGGCACAACACCGCCACAUGCAUGUGCUCGUGCGCCGGUGUGCGACCUCGACGAUAACUUGUCGGUCUCUCCAG
rnacentral:misc_RNA from 1 species